AGCCCUCCUUUCCUCUUUUUUAUUUAUUCUCUCAACUCCCAUCAUCCUAAUCAAUCAAAGAACCUUGCACAAAUUCGUGCAAGGUCUCAAAUAGCCCAUGAAAUCGUCCCCUUUGCCUCCUGAAUCCGUGAAUCUCGCUGGUUUCUUCCCGUUUCAUCUCUCAAAUUUAAAAAUUCCCAAAUCCGAAACCUUAGACCAAAUGAUGCAAUGUCAAGUCUUCAGAAAUCUUCUUUAUUUUGUUAAAUCAGUGGCAUGCAUGGCCGUCUCCCAGUGCUAUCAUAUUUAUUCUUGGUCCAGAGGUCAAGUGAAGCGACCUCUGGAUAUUGAGGCUCUUACCUGAUGGAGUUUUCCUUCAACGGUCAACUUUCCCCCCUCUCAGGUAAAAUCCCUACUAAUUUCCCUCUAUCUUCUCAGAUUUUCACCCGAUUAUGCUAAUAUCACUACUCCUUUGUCACUCUCCACCACCGAGUUUGAUUUCUGUUGAACCUAAGGUAUUGAAUUCCACUACAAAAUGGGACUUUAAAUGCUCUCACCUAACAGACCUAACACAAGAUACACAUAAAAUCACUUAGCAAAUAGAGAAAUAUCAACUUUAGUCUUGAGUGGUAAAAAUAGGGUUUUCUAACUAGCUUCUGAUUUCUUCUGAUUUCGAGUUCUGCACUGGUCAGAGUUUGAGUUCUUGAUUCCUGAACAGCUAACAAAAAUCCUUGUUUGGUUUGCUUCUCAAAGGAAGGUCAGGGAGCGUCGAUCCUUCCUCUCCUUUAACUGUUUAGUUAAAAUUAUGCCUACUCUAUUAUCUUCUGUUAAUUAACUUUGCUCAUGACGUGUUUUUAUUAGUUUAUAAUUGAUUAUCUUUGCUUAUAAUGUGUUAUUAUUAGUUCAUAAUUGACAUUAUGCUUUGAUAUUAUUUCCCUCAAUGAUCUGAAGCUAAACCAAUACUAAUCGACAAUUUUGUAAUCUUGAUGAAUAUGCAAUGUGUGAUUAACAAAGAACCAUAUUAAUUAUGUACAUCUGCUUUGACCUUAAAAUUCCCUGAUGACUUUGUUAUGGUCCUCAUGCUUACUUUAAUAAUCCUUACUUAGUGUUACUUGUUGAUUUGUAUCAUGUACUUAAGGUUAUCUAUCUGAUAAAUCAAAAGUAGAAAAAGGGAUAUGAACACUUAAGGUUAAAUACAUGGCUAUCAUUUUAGUUACGACAUACCAGUUUAAGUUGUUUGGGUUGCUUUCUCUCUUCCAAUGUGCUUAUGGAAUUCUGAUACCUCUUAAGAGAUCACUGCAAAGGUUUUUCUGUAAACUUUCUUGAUUGUGUGAUCAUAUCUGUGAAGCCUCACCCAAAUGUAAAUAUUUCUGAAAUGAAACUGGUUUAAGUUCUUAUGAGUUUCUGUAGUUAAUCUUAUAUGAACUCUGAUUGCUACUGUUAAACUAGACCAAGCAUGUUUAGAAUUGUCUUCAAGGAUCUGAUUAAGAAAUAGAGUCUGGUUGAGAGUUAUAGCUAUUGUACAUGUAUAUCAUUCUUGAACUGACCAUACUAAGUUAAACUUCAUCAUUCUUGGACUAAUGCAUUCACCUAUUUAACUGGACUAGUUUUCUUGCUACUAGAACCAUGCUUAUUUCAUGUGAAACCUUCCUUGUCCUAGACUUAUGUACUAAAUUUGUUGGUCUGACCCUAUGAUGUUUGACAUUCUACCAUGUUGUAGUCUUGCACUCCUUAAGGAUAUCUCUUGUAAGUGCUUAGUUGUCUUCUCCUGGUUUUUCUGCACUCAUUCAUUAAACAAACUUCAUGCUUACCUUUCAUACUCAUGCUUAUGCUCUCAUAUUGUACUAUCACACACGGGAAAUUAAGCCUUUCUAGGCCUACAUAGUUAACUGUGACUCACCUGUACACUUAAGGGAAGCUCUAAAUGCAUACCUCCCUUGUCAGAACAUUACCUUGCGUUUAUAUGAAUGUCUUAACUCCUAAUGAGCCUAGUAUAAAUGUGAGGUUAUUAGCCUUUAAAGAUCAUGUCAUCUGCUUAUGUAAAGAUCAAUUUGCUCGCUUAAGUGUACUUCUUAAUAUGCUUUAAGGAUUUUGAAUGAGGCUGUUAACUCAUACUAUUAGUAGAGAUUAAGACUUAGUCUAUGAAUUAAUCUUUAAUUAAUUCAAAACAUAGUCUAAUAAGCUGUCAAGGUAUUAUGAGCAGGGUCUCUUGUAAAAUUUGAAAUUAUCAGUAGAUGCAUGAGUCUCCUUACUCCUUAAUCAUAUGACUGAAUGUUUGGAUUCCUAAAUAAUUUGUUGGUGUUUCCUCUCUUUGGUUGUACAUGCUUUGGCUUCUUUGAGUAUUCCUAAGUUUGUUGAAGAUGUUGGCAAUGUACUACACCCUUGUGUUUGGAUUGUGAUCCUUAUGGUUUUAUUUUCUAUCACAAUAUUCAUAGUAAUAUUUUGUAUAAUCUCUGUGAGAAUUGUAUAUACCUCUGUUAUAUUAUUACUGUUUUAGAGCUACAGUGAGUGCCUCACUGGCACUUAAACCUAUAGGUAAGAGUAAGUGUGAGUGGUUAAGGGUAUUUGGGAGUAAGGUUUAGUUUGUGUUUGAGAUGCCCUUCCUGACACAAGCACUACUCGGGGUCCUUGAGACUCUUUGUCACGACCCAAAAUCUCAACUUAGCCGGUCGGGUGGGGAUCGGACACCAUGCCAUACAUAUGGUGGUUCCUCCUUCUUAUCAUUAUAUUUGAUUUGUAUCACCAUGCCGAUCCAUAUUCAUUCGUGGUGAGAUGGCUUAUCCGAUCAAGCGGAGAUCAAACUCUAUGCCAUGGGCACAGGGGUAAUGGGUAUCCAUGUCCACUCGCAUUGGGAUGAGACGUCUUAGUCAGUCAAGCGGUGAUCAGACUCCAUGCCUCGUGCAUGAUGUGACGAUCGGUGGCUAAUGCUCUCCCAACCAAACAUAGUGAUGCUUAUUUUAAAAUUGGUUAUGUCUUAACUUGGCUUUUAGAUAUUAUUGGUUUUCCUUGCUGCUUUCAUGAUUCUCUCCUUCUUAUGUUGGCAUUCUAUUCCAAGAGAGGGUAUUUAGCUUUACAUACUUAUACUAUUCCAUGUGUACUAAUGUCUCUUUUGUCGGGGACGCUGCAUCUUUAAUGGAUGCAGGUGGCUCCAUAGCAGGUGACUCAGGUUCUUGAUAGGUGUUCCCUCUUCUCAACUGACUUGGUGAGCCCUACUCUAUAUCAGGGUGGUAUGUUUGUACUGACACUUUUAUAUUAUUUUGAGGUAUAGACAUGACCUUAUCACCGGCAUCUCCACACUAUUAUCAUGUCAUUCAGAGGCUCCGUAGACAUACUAUGGGUCGUGUUUUGAAUGGGGGAAAACUAUAAAUAUCGUUCCUGUCAGUUGAUCUCACUUACAAACUAUGAACUUGUAUUAUGUUGCCUUCUACAAAUGAAUCUAAUUUGUGAAAUUGGAAGUGUACAUUUUACCCUCUUGUUUGACUAUAUGUUCGUAUUUAUUCAUGACUUAUUUAUAGGCAUAGUUGAACGGUAGGCACUAAGUAGGCUUGCUUGACUGGGGUAACUCGGUUGAGCGUCGGUCUCGCUCCCUAAGGUUGGGGCAUGACAAUUGUAACGACCUGAUCAGUCGUUUUGAGUAUUGUAGCCAUGUUCCCCCAUUUACCGCUUCUUAUAUGUUUAAGUAUGGUUAUGUGACUUGCCGGGGUGGUUGGUUUGGUUACGGGGAUGUUUCGGGGUGAAAUGGGAUACUUAGUCCCAAGGUUGAACGUUUAAGUUGAAAGAAUUGACCGGAGUUUGACUUUUAUGUAGACGACUCCGGAAUGGAGUUUUGAUGGUUCAAAUAGCUUCGUAUUAUGAUUUUGGACUUAGGCGUAUGUCUGGAUGUUGAAUUAGACGUCUAUAGUCAUUUUGACUCAAAUUGGCGAAAGUUGGAAACUUGAAGGUUUGGAAGGUUGAGAAGUUUGAUCGAGAGUUGACUUCAUUGAUAUCGGGUUCCAAUUUUGGUUUUGGGAGUUGGAAUAGGUUUGUUGUAUUAUUUAUGACUUAUGUGCAAAAUUUGAGGUCAGUUGGAGUUGGUUUGGUAUGAUUCGACAUUAGUUUGAGAAGCUAGAAGUUCAUAAGUUCAUUAGGCUUGGAUUGGGGUGCGAUUAAUGAUUUCGGUAUUGUUUGAUGUGAUUUAAGGCUUCGACUAAGUUCGUAUCAUGUUUUAUGACCUGUUGGUAUGUUUGGAUAGGGUCUCGGGGGCGUCGGGUGUGUUUCGGAUCAAGUUCGAACUUACUUUGGACUUUGUUGGAUUGUUGAUGUCUGUGCUUCUGGUUUCCUCUUUUGCGACCGCGAGGAGAGGGACGCGAUCGCGGAGGGUAAGGUCUGGCAGGUGGGAGUUUGUUCUAUGCGAUCGCAUGGUUAAGGCUACGACCGCGAUGACAUGAGGGAGUUGUGUUACGCGAUCACGUGGGAGGAGACAUAUUCACGAAGAAGGAAGAGGGGCCUGGGAUUUCCAUGUGUUGUUCAGCGUGAUCACGUGAGGUUGUCUGUGAUCUCGUAGGUCAGGGAAAUUAAUCACGACAUUCCUGGAGUGUGUGUUCGCGUAGAAGGUUAUUGGCUACUGAAGGUUUUGUUCUUCGCAAUCGCAUGGGAAAUUCCGCGAUCGCGUGGGAAAUUUUGUGAUCGCGUAGUGUAAUCACUGGGCAGCAUAUAUUUAAUUCCAAAUCGAGGGUUAGAGUACCAUUUUCAUAUUUUGAGUUAUAGAGCUCGGUUUUGGGCGAUCUUAGAGGGGAUUUUCACGUCUUAGAUUGGGGUAAGUGUUUUUGACUUGGAUAUUUUAGUAUUUCAUGAUUCCAUCUUCGUUUUUAGUAUUUAAAUAAUGAAUCAAAGUGAAGAAAUGAAGGAUUUUGUGGAAACUUUUCAAAAAUGAAAAAUGGAGGUUGGAAGGUCGAUUUGAGGUCAGAAUAGGAUGAUUUUGGUAUGGUUGGACUCGUAAUUGAAUGGGUGUUCGAAUUUUAUGAAUUUUAUUGGGUUCCGAGGUGUGAUCCCAAGGCUGACCUUUUGGGUUAACUUUUUGAUUUUUGAUAAAGAUCGAAACUUUAUUGUUUGAAGUUGUUUCCUGCAACAUUAUUUAUUGAUAUUGAGUUGUUUGUGACUAGAUUCGAGUCAUUUGGAGGCCGAUACGCGUGGGAAGGGCUUGUUGGAGUUGUGAUUUGCACGGUUAGAGAUAAGCAACACUUCUAAACUUUGAUUUGAGUGCAUUUAACCCUAAGGACUAUGUUAUGUGAAAGAUAGUGGGGUGACGUACGCGCUUGAUGACGGGAAUGUGUGUGCGCACCAAUUUGUUCAUAGUUUGGGGAGGCCUUUAGGCUAAUACCAAGUUUGUUUUGCUGUCACAUCAUGUUACCCCCGAGUCCUCUCUACCUGUUUGAUUAUGUUGAACUGUGAAUCAUGUUAGACAUCAUGUCUAGGCUACGUGAUAACUGUUUGAGACUUGAUAGGACUAUUCUUGCUAUUUCUAAGUUAUAUACCUUAUUUGCACACAUGUUCUCAGUCAUGAUACUAUAUCCAUGUAUGAUAUCUCUGUCUCAAUACUUCUUAAUUGAUUACUCACAUGUUGCUGAUAUCGCUUAAGGGUAAAACUGUUUAAUUGAAUAUUUGAGAUGUGCUCAUCUGAGACUUGAAUGAUAAAUGACUGAGUUUUGGUCGUAGAUCCGGUUUGGUACUAAUUUUGAGGUGAUGCGUACACCAUGCCCAUAUUGGGCUGAGUGUUAUUUUUUGAGGCGAGGCGCGCACCAGGCCUCAUUAUUGGGCUAAGUGAUUAUAGUUAGCACUUCGGUAGGAUCCGUCCCUCCGGAGUCUGACAUGCCAGCAGUGGGCGCAUGCAUGGUGUUUCAUAUAUAUGCUUGAUGAUGGGCAGUUAUGCUAGGAACUCGUACAGUGCCAAGUGUUAAUACACUUGAUGGAUCUUUUGUGAUACUGUUGAUUUACGUGUAUACUCUACAUGUAGGCAUAGAGAUAUACUUUCGUCAUGCUAACUGGAAAUUGACCUACUUUAUCUGUGUUGGGUUUUAAACUGUUAUACUUGAAAGCAUACCUAAAUUCCUAAAAUAAGAACGAGAUGUAAUUGAUAUCAUUGAUUUACUAUUUCUAUAGUUUAUACUGUAUUUGUUGAACUGUUAUUGGUUAUUGGUACUGGCACUUGACUGUUGUUCUAAGCUCAUCUCUACUUUCAACCCAAGGUUAGUAUUGUUAUUUAUUGAGUAGAUUGGGUCGGUUGUACUCAUACUACACUCUGCACUUCGUGUGCAGAUCCAGGUACAUUCGGUUGAAGUGAUUUUCAGGCUUGAGUCAUGCUAGCUAGUUGGGAGACUACGAGGUAGCUGCCAUACCAUCUGCAGUCCUUGAAGUUCUCUUCCUGUUAUCUUUAUCUUUACUAUUUUCAUGAUCAGACGGUUGUAUUAAAGUAUUAUUUUGUACCUUGUUAUUCAGUAGUGCUCGUGUACUUGUUGACACCAGAUUUUGUGGUUGGUUGCAGUAGCAUUUUGACUUAUUCUCAUAUAUUUUUAUGGU
rnacentral:lncRNA from 1 species